UACAUAGAAACUUGAUGAAAGUUAGAUCAGCUAUACCAAUUUGAUACUUUAUGAUGAUAAUUUACAUGUAAAGUAAAACUGAUUUUAUUAGGAAACUACUUUUGUGUGAAGCGUUGUUGUUUCAGUUUGGAGGCAGUGACUUACAAGUCAAACAAAUAUAGAACCCAAUAAUGUAACUAUUGCUGUUUAUUUACUGAACAGUUCUUCUGCAGGUUUAUGACCAAAAGAGCAAUCCAGUUUUGCUGGAAACAAUAUUUUGAAGCUUGAACCAAGUCUCUUUUGCGUCAAGAAUGCAUGAUGGUUGCUUCGUCCAAGUCCAUAAAUGACAGGAGCCCAGCUGCCCAGGUGGUCCUAGAGUCUAGAUUAAAGGGAUUUUAUGAUAGUUGGUAACAUCAGAAAAAUGUGAAGCCAAGGGAGAUUUUCAUAGAUCAAGAUCAUAUUGACAUGCAGAUGUUGCAUCACCUAAAUUGCAAGUGUUGUCCCUGAGAGAUUUGUAGAUAAAUCAAUAAUCCAAACUCAUGCAAUGAUCACACGGCGAAUUUCUGUUGCAAAAGUGGGAAAAAGAAGUCUCUUGCCAAGUCUGGAGAACAGAAUAACUGCUAUUUUGCACAAGAAAUACAAGGUAGGUAAGGACCAUGCAUACAGAUGUUUCCCUUAAACAAACUCGACUACAAGCAGCUGCAGAAAGUGCAAAUCAAGAAGGAAACCCAGCACCUAAGAAUUAUUCAUGCAAGACUCACUUACCUGAUAACUGAGAAAACACUUGCCGCUUUCAACGAGAAGCCUCAGAGGAGGAGAACCAGCAGAGCUCUUCAAAGUUGAAGAGAUGCUAGGAGCAGCAGCUCUGAGCUGUGCCUGUGCUGUGCAUCCUUUUGGCGACGACGACGGAAGGAAUCAGAAGCCUUUCUUUCUUUCCUGCACAAGCAGCCUCGUCGGUCAGUACUGCUAUCUUUUCUUUUCCGUUUCUUCUACUUCUCUUUCGCCCCCUCUGAAGAAAGAAGAAUGGAGGUGAGGCAGCGGCUAUGGCGCUAUAGCAUCGCAGCACAUGCCAUGCACAAGCAAAAUGCUCUUUCGGCCAGUGUGCCGUCCCCCCCACGCACGCUUGCUUUUCCCCACCCUGCCGGCAGAAAAAGUGGCAGGGCAGAAAAGCCGAUCCAGAGCUCUGGCAACCGUGUGCUAAAGCUUGUAGCAAUGAUAGAAUCUUGUGAGCCUUGAGGUGAAGGAAGAGUAUCGGAUGGCUAUGCCUCGACUACAAUUUGCAGGAUGGCUACGUCUUUGUAUGGCUCUGUUGGGAAAAGCCAAAAGACAGGUCUAUUGCAUUGUGUCAAAUGUCAGAUAUGCACGGAUCCAGAUGAGAUGACAUCAAACUUUUCUUGGCUACGGACAGAGUUAUCCACCAACAGCCGGGAGUAAUGGCAAAAUCAGCUGCAGGCCGUAGUGAGUAUCAACUCUCAGCUAAACAACUAGCAACGUUUGUCCCACUCUGUGGACUCGAUCUCUGGUCAUGUAUGUUUUCUUUUAUCCUAUUCAAUUUGGUUUAAGUUGAUGCAGUAUCAAGUGUGGUACUUAGUACAAUACUCAUUCCGUUUAAAAAUAAUAUAAGUUAAUAAUCUUUAUUAUCUACGACAAUAAUGGUAGUAAGAAGAUGA